rnacentral:rRNA from 1 species
UCGAGAAUCAUUCGCAAUGGGCGAAAGCCUGACGAUGCGACGCCGUGUGAGCGAUGAAGGCCUUAGGGUCGUAAAGCUCUUUCGCUUGGGAACAAGAGACGCCGGCUAAUAUCCGGCAAAUUUGAGGGUACCAGGUAAAGAAGCACCGGCUAACUCCGUGCCAGCAGCUGCGGUAAUACGGAGGGUGCAAGCAUUAAUCGGAUUUAUUGGGCGUAAAGGGCGCGUAGGCUGGUUUGUAAGUCAGAUGUGAAAUCCCGGGGCUCAACCUCGGAACAGCAUUUGAAACUGCAUACCUAGAGGGUAGGCGGAGAAAACGGAAUUCCACAAGUAGCGGUGAAAUGCGUAGAUAUGUGGAAGAACACCGGUGGCGAAGGCGGUUUUCUAGCUUACUCCUGACGCUGAGGCGCGAAAGCAAGGGGAUCAAACAGGAUUAGAUACCCCCGUAGUCC